UACAGAGGGUGCAAGCGUUGUUCGGAAUUAUUGGGCGUAAAGCGCGUGUAGGCGGCUUUGCAAGUCGGGUGUGAAAGCCCUCAGCUCAACUGAGGAAGUGCGCCCGAAACUGCAGAGCUUGAGUACCGGAGAGGAUGGUGGAAUUCCCCAAGUAGAGGUGAAAUUCGUAGAUAUGGGGAGGAACACCGGUGGCGAAGGCGACCAUCUGGACGGAUACUGACGCUGAGACGCGAAAGCGUGGGGAGCAAACAGG
rnacentral:rRNA from 1 species